rnacentral:rRNA from 1 species
UACGUAGGGUGCGAGCGUUAAUCGGAAUUACUGGGCGUAAAGCGUGCGCAGGCGGUAAUGCAAGACAGAUGUGAAAUCCCCGGGCUUAACCUGGGAACUGCAUUUGUGACUGCAUUGCUGGAGUGCGGCAGAGGGGGAUGGAAUUCCGCGUGUAGCAGUGAAAUGCGUAGAUAUGCGGAGGAACACCGAUGGCGAAGGCAAUCCCCUGGACCUGUACUGACGCUCAUGCACGAAAGCGUGGGGAGCAAACAGG